rnacentral:rRNA from 1 species
GGAACUGUGAGACAGGUGCUGCAUGGCUGUCGUCAGCUCGUGUUGUGAAAUGUUGGGUUAAGUCCCGCAACGAGCGCAACCCUUAUCCUUUGUUGCCAGCGGUUAGGCCGGGAACUCAAAGGAGACUGCCAGUGAUAAACUGGAGGAAGGUGGGGAUGACGUCAAGUCAUCAUGGCCCUUACGACCAGGGCUACACACGUGCUACAAUGGCGCAUACAAAGAGAAGCGACCUCGCGAGAGCAAGCGGACCUCAUAAAGUGCGUCGUAGUCCGGAUUGGAGUCUGCAACUCGACUCCAUGAAGUCGGAAUCGCUAGUAAUCGUGGAUCAGAAUGCCACGGUGAAUACGUUCCCGGGCCUUGUACACACCGCCCGUCACACCAUGGGAGUGGGUUGCAAAAGAAGUAGGUAGCUUAACCUUCGGGAGGGCGCUUACCACUUUGUGAUUCAUGACUGGGGUGAAGUCGUAACAAGGUAACCGUAGGGGAACCUGCGGUUGGAUCACCUCCUUA